rfam:Clostridium taeniosporum strain 1/k, complete genome.
CAAUUGAAUAGGCAAAACUAAUUAAAGUUAGUGACGCAAAGCUAUAGGGGCUAAGGAGAAAUCUAUGCCAGCCAGUUGCCGAA